rnacentral:lncRNA from 1 species
CAUCUACAUUUAUCUACAUGUCUACAUAACAUUGAGUAGAGUGUCUGAUUAGAUAUAUUAGAUACUCAGCAAACAUUAUGUUCAGUGUCAAUAAUUAAUGAAUGCAUUAGUUAUCUCUCAGAAUUCGACUCCUUCUCCCUAAAAUGGGAUGUGGAAUUAAACCAUGAAAAAGAAAGUCGCCUUAAAAUUUGAUAUUUCUUUAUUAUUAUUAAAGAAACCACUCAUCAAAGAGGGAUGAAAGAAAGAAAAAUGUCCCUUUUGGCCUUAUAUCCUUGUCCUUUCAGAGUGGGCAAAAAUCAAACACAUUAUUACUCAAGAUAAUUUAAUUCUCAUGGUCCUGGGCUACUUGAUUAUAAUUAUCUGCUGUAGCGCUAAUAAAGAAGAGAAAAACAUAUAAAAGGUAAAGGCAUCUGCUUAGCAAGACCAAGUGCCAAACAAUUGCAAGGUCUUCACUUUUUCUUUGAAGAUUAUAUAUCUGAGGGGACGACAUUAGAAUAGAUUUUAAGCUCCUAGUCAUUUCCUCAAGCAAAUAUGAUGAAACCAAAAGAUCAAAUAAUGUUUUCCAUUUAGAAUAUCUCACUACAAAUUUUUAAUUUUUUUUACAAAUGAAUUAUUAAAGUUGCAAAUGACAGUGCUUUAAAGAAUUAUUUAAACUCUCCAAGUACUUAAAGGAUAAUAAAGAACAAGUAAAUUCUGUGAUUGGUGAAAGGGCAAAGGUAUGUGUGCUGUUGGCAGGGGUGGGGGUGGUAAUAGAAAAAAAUCCAGGUGACUUCAAUUCAGCUAAGUAACGUGACCUGUAUUUGCUAAGAAGAACCAAGCAGUAGGCCAGUUACCGAGGAUUGACAUGGAAGAUGGGUGUCCACUGAGUCAGAAACCUUAGGAUCAAAAGUAAGUGAUUUUUUUUUUCUUGAAAAGAAUCAGUACUUUAUAUAGCUAACUUAGCUGCCUUCUCCUCCAUCCGCUAAGGUGCAGGCAAAUCUUGAAGAUAUUGCAGGUUUGGUUCUACACCACUGCAAUAAAGUAUUUCAACAAAGCGAUUCACAAAUGUUUUGGUUUCCCAGUGCAUAUAAGAGUUAUGUUUAAACUGUUGUCUAUCACGUAUGCAAUAGCAUUAUGUACAAAAAAUAAUGUACAUACCUUAAUUAAAAACUGUCUUAUUGCUAAAAGAUGCUGCCCAUCUGUAAGUCAUACAUAUCUUUUGGCUGGUAAAGAAUCUUGCCUCAAUGUUGAUAGGUGCUAACUGAUCAGGGUGUUGGCUAUAGAAGGUUGGACCGGCUGUAACAAUUUCUUAAAAUGAGACAAUGGAGAUUGCCUUAUUGACUCUUGCUUUCACAAACAACUCUUCCAUAACAUGAAAUGCUGUCUGGUAGCAUUUGCCCCCAGAAGAACUUCUUUAAAAACUGAGUCCUCUCAAACCCUGUCACUGCUUUAGCAACUAAGUUAUGUAAUAUUCCAAGAAUUCUGUUGUCAUUUCAGUAAUCUUCACAACAUCUUCACCAGGAAUAUAUUUCAUCUACUUUCAUUGCUUAUCCAUAAGAAGCAACCCCUCACCUGUUAAAGUUGUAUCACAAGAUUACAGCAAUGCAGUCAUGUCUAUAGGCUCAGCUUCUAAUUCUAGUUCUAUUGCAAUUUCCACCACAUCUGUAGUUCUUUCUCCACUGAAGUCUUGAAGCUCUCAAAGUCAUCCAUGAGGGUUGGAAUCAGCUUCUUCCAAACUCCUGGUAAUGUUGUUAUUUUGACCUCUUCCCUUGAAUCAUGAAUGUUCUUAGUGGCAUCUAGAAUGGUGAACUUUUCAGAAAUUUUUCAUUUUACUUUGCCCAGAUCCAUUAGAGAAAUUUCUACCUAUGAUAGCUAUAGCCUUACAAAAUGUAUUAAUUAAUAAGACUUGAAAGUUGAAAUUAAUCCUGAUCUAUGGGCUGCAGAAUGGAUAUUGUGCUUGCAACUAUGAAAACAACAUUAAUCUUAUACACACACCUCCAGCAGAUCUCAUCCAGGUGCAUUGUUGAUGAGCAGUAGUUUUUAAAAGCAGUCUUGUUUUCUGAGCAGUAGGUCUCAACAAUGGGCUUAAAAUAUUCAGUAAACCAUAUUGUAAGCAGAUGUGCUGUCAUCAGGUUUUGUUGUGCCAUUUAUGGAGCAUAGACAGAGUAGAUUUAGCAUGAUUCUUAAGGGUCCUAAGGUUUUCAGAAUAGUAAACGAGCAUUAACUUCACCUUAACAUCACCAGCUGUGUUAGCCCCUAAUUCAAAAGUCAGACCAUCCUUUAAAACCUUAAAGCCAGGCACUGAUUUCUCCUCUCCAGCUAUGAAGGUCCCAGAUGGCAUCUUCUUCCAAAAGAAGCCUGUUUUGUCUACAUUGAAAAUCUGUUGUUUAGAGUGAUGCCACAGUUAUUAAUGAUCUUAGCUUGAUCUUCUGGACAACUUGCUGAAUCUUUUGCAUCAGCACUUGCUACUUCAUCUUGCAUUUUGGUGUUAUGGACAUGGCUUCCUUCCUUCAACCUCAUGAGCCAGCCUCUGCUAGUUGCACACUUUUCUUCUGCAGCUUCCACACCUCUCUUGGCCUACACAGAAUUGAAGAGAGUUAGGGCCUUGCUCUGGAUUAAGUUCUGGCUUUUGGAAUGUUGUGACUGGUUUGAUCUUCUAUCCAGACCAUUAAAACAUUUUCUAUAUCAGCAAAAAGGCUGUUUUCUUUUCUUAUCAUUCAUGUGUUCAAUGGAGUAGCACUUUUAAUUUCCUUCAAGAACUUCCCCUUUGCAUUUACAACUUGGCUGACUGGUACAAGAGGCCUAGCUUAUGGCCUGUCUCAGCUUUUGACAUGCCUCCCUCACUAAGCUAUUUCUAGCUUUUGAUUAAAAAUGAGAGAUGUGUGACCCUUCCUUUCAAUUGAACACUUAGAGGUCAUCAUAUUAUUAAUUGACAUAAUUCCAAUAUUGUUGUGUUUCAGGCAAUAGGGAGGCCCCAGGUGAGGGAGACUGGGGAAUGGUGGGUCAGUGGAACAGUCAGAACACACAUAACGAUUAUCAAUUAAGUUUGCUGUCUCAUAGGGGUGUGGUUUGCAGUGCCCUGAAAAAAAUUGUAAUAGUAACAUGAAAGAUCACUGAUCAUAGAUCACCAUAACAAAUAUAAUAAUAAUGAAAAUGUCUGAAAUAUUGUGAGAAUUACCAAAAUGUGACAGAGGCACAAAUGCUAUUGGAAAAAUGAUGCUGAUAGCCUUGCUUCAUUCAGGGUUGUCACAAACCUUCAAUUUGUAAACAAACAAAAACAAGACAAUAUGAUGAAGAACAAUAAAGCAAAGUGCAAUAAAAUGAAAUAUGCCUUAUAUACUUUACUCUCCUGGAUCCUGGAGAUUCAGUUGCCUUAUCUCUAAAUGGAACCACUGGAACUUCCUUCACAAAUGAUGAGGAUAGGAAGAACUGAGCUAACAUGGAAAGGGUAACCACUAAGAUAGAAGAUGCUACUGGGAAUUGCAUUGUAGUGGAAGGAUCUAAAUGAAAGGCUGAGUAUUGGAGUCUAUUCCAAUUACGAUGCAACUGUGACAUGACUUGGUGUUGAUACAUCAGUAAAGAGCCCUUUGUGUCUGAUUCCUCACUGCUGAACCAGGGGAGAUUGUUCAGGACACAUAAAGCAGAUGAACCUUCUAAGCAAGAGCAAAGAUAGAAAGACCAUUUUUGGGUCACAGAAGCUAAACUGACUCAUACUGACACGCAUUGUUAAAACGGCAUCUUCACACACAAAUAGUGUUGCUUCCAUCUACCCUCCUCUUUCUCUUCAAGGGAGAUCAUAGGAGGGAAGGUUAUAAAGAUGGGGCACCUGAGAUGGAUUCCUGCAUGGUGUGGGGUGCAAGGUGUGCUGUGGGGUACUCUUGGGUGAAUGGUCAUCUCAUGAUUGAGUCAAGGGACUGUAAAGAUGAGUUUCAGGCCCUUGUGACAAUGGCUCACAAGUGCUUCCCCAGCUUCACAUGGCUGUCAUUUCUGCUCUCUUCAGAUAUUCUACAUCAGAAACAAGUCUACUCAUGAAUCUGUAGAAGGAAAUCUAAGAGGACAUAGCAGAGUUCUGCUUCCCUGAUGAGCUAUGCCCAGCAGCCUCCCUUUCACUGAGUCCAUGGUGUGCAGAAAAUAAGGCUUCUUGGAAUUUCCCAGACACUAAAACCCCCCUAAUGGCUAUUCACCUGAGUACUCAGGAUCAGGAGGAGAAUAUCAAAGAUCUGCAAACGGGAAUCUGCUAUAUGGGAGGUAGUGAAUUUCCUCUGCCCCUUAUUCACAAUCUGGAUGUUAUUUAGACAUGAAGAGAAUCAGCCUAAUUAUUUCCCACUUCAAACCUUGGACCAAAUACUUCAUUACUGGCUCUUAAGUUAUUCCUUUAGACAACUCAGUGACACAGAUGCUUAUUAGUCCCAUUGUUCGAACAAAAGAAACUGAGAUAGAAUGAAGUUAAGGAAUUAGUUCCCACCUGGCUGGAAUUUUUAAGCAUAUUAAAUGCAUACCAUCUUUUACCUCUUUGCAUAUGCAGUAUAGAUCAUAAUACCCAAUUGAUUGACUAACCAGCUUGACCCUGCUGCCUACUUCUUCUUUCUCCACUCCCCCAAUGAGAGAGACAGGAGUCAGUUUACAAAAUAAGCGGACAAGAUGAUAAAAGGAAACCUUUUAUUUAAGUUUUUAAAAAGUCACUAGUCCAGUGACCAUUCUGUCAUUCUGAAAUUUUGUUCCUUGUCCUGCAGAAUAUCUACUCAGUUGAGUGGUCAGUACCUUCACAGGCCAUGAGUCUCUGUCAGUAGAAGGAGGUUGUGCCUGCAUGCUGCUCAGACCUUGCAGAAAUACUUUCUGUCAGGAAUCUUUGGAUUUCACAAAAGCAUCUUGAUUCUUUUCUCAGGCUGCAAGUUUUAUUACAUUUUGUUAGAUGUGAAAGACAGGAGUUCCUGUAGUGGCUCAGUGGUUAAUGGACCUGACUAGCAACCAUGAGAACACGGGUUCAAUCCUGGCCUCGCUUGCUGGGUUAAGGAUCUGGUGUUGCCAUGAGCUGUGGUGUAGGUUGCAAAUGCGGCUCAGAUCCCAUGUGGCUGUGUCUCUGGCAUAGGCCCAUUUCCCAUGUUGCUGUGGCUCUGGUGUAGGCCAGCAGCUAUAGUUCCGAUUGGACUCCUAGCCUGGAAACCUCCAUAUGCCAAGGGUGCAGCC